UUCUCCUCUGUACUCUGCGGAGUCCUCCUAAUAGAGUUUCCAUUUUAGUCUUUUUUUUUUAAAGAUCAUUAUCUUUUCUGAAGCGGCGAGAGAAGCAGAAGCCCCUGACCUCUCCUUUGUACUGUGUCGCUUUGUCGCUGUUCUGUGAGGAGGCGGAAGCAUGGCGGACAAGACCGUGGUGUCGCCGCAUCCUCGUCGGCCGGCGUGGUAGGUGGCGGUUGCUGCGGGGGACGGCGUGUCCUACUCGGCCGGCCGAUGUAGUGGCAGUUGUUGCGGGGACGCCGCGUACAGCUCGGCCGGCGGAGGCGGGGGCUUUGACGCCGCAGUCGCCGCUAGCGGCGAUGGGGAAUGUUGCGGCUAGUGUGCUUCUCCGUCCAACGGGUAGGAGGUCUGCGAAUCGCGACCGCGCCAGGCGCCAUGGCCGGCGAGAUGGGUAGUAUUCUGUCCUCCUCUUUUUUCUGUCCUCCUCUUUUUUUCUGUCCUCCUCUUUCAUGUGUGUUCUAUGUAGUCAACGAUAACUCGCAGGAUUUGUUCUUUGUUUUAUAGCCGCGUCAGAUGUGUGUUUAUUAUUCAUAUGUGGAGAUAGCUGUCCGUUUUGUUGUUCUAGUGCUCGAUUUGUUUGGUCGCUUGGUAGUUUGACUUUGACAUGCUAUUCUCGAAGCUUUGUUGCCGAUAGUGAUGUUGUUUUGUAAGUGGAGGUAGCUUGCCAGAGUUUGAUUCGUAUGUGCAUGUAGCCAGAUCUAUGGAUGUAGGGAGUCAGAUGUUGGGGGUUCAAUAUCCUUGUUCAGUAUGGCAUCGUGGUAGAAUAUUGGCAGUCAUCUUGAUGUUGUCUCUGAAGUUUUUUCAGUACCAAUGUCAAGCAUUGGUGUUUGUUGCCGAGUUGAUUGAUUAAGAUUGUGCAGAUUCUGCAUGUUAUCCUUGUAAUGUUGUAUAUUGCCUGAAUUUUAAUUAGUUUAAUUAGUUGGGAAGGAAAGAAUGCCCAUAGUGCACAAUGCUCACUGUCUCCUUUUGAUCUGUAACAAUUCAUGAUCAAUGGUCUGCAUCUUCUCCGCUGCUGGCGGCAGCAGUUGAGAUCGUUGGGCAGCGUCGUCGGCAUGGGUUAUGCCGCUGCAAUCGAGCUAGACCAGUUCCCAUGGAUGCUUUCCCAAGCCGUUUGCCUUGAGCACUCUAAGAACUGCAGCUGAUUACUUGGCUGCCUGGUGAGAGGCAAACAUGUAGCACAAAAGUGCAUGCUGGCGGUGGCGAUAUCACCGCGCGUUCAUUCGUGAGCCGGUGGAUGUUGCUCGGUAUGUUUGAUCUGCUGUUAUUGCCUCUCGUUUCGUAGCCCCUCAGAAUGAGUUCAGUUUUAGAAAUUAGUUUCAGUUUCAGUUUGUUAGUGGGUAGGUUGAGUGGUCGGUUCCAGGUUUGGUUGAUUAUAUGGUCAUGAUUUGUUUAUGUAAAAUCUGUGUCUCAUUCCAGGAUAAUUUUCAGUACCAUUCUAUGUUCACUCUCUGCUACUUCUUUCUUUUGUCUAGUUCUCUUUAUUGUCAGUCUUUAGUCUCUCUUUAUCUCAUAAUGUAUUAGAUAAUCUCCAUGUUCUUCAGUUUUACCCCUAUGUUAUUUUUUUAGUUUCUGAUUUAACCAUUAUGCAAGUUUUAUAAUUAGAUAAAUGUUAUUUUUUUUUCAGAUUCUCGUAGUUUCUCUUCUUUAUUUUCUAGUUUCUAUCUUGUUUUUCUAACUCAUGUUCUUAAGUUCUUUUUAAGUCUUCCAAUCUUCAUUUUCUUCUGUCCUGAUAGUUUUUUCUUAAGUCAUUUGUCUCAUUCUUCAGUCCUUUUUUAUCAUUACUAUUUAGAUCUUCAGUUUCUCAAUAUGAGCAGCGGCAUUGUCAGAUUCCCUCAGUUAUCAGUUUUUCAGUUUUGCAGUUAUUUAGUUCUUCAGUAAUUUGUUUCUUCAGAUCAUUGUUUCUUGCAUCCCUCAAUUUAAGUUUUCUUUUUAAUAUCAUCAGUAUUUUUAUUUAGUCAUGAGUCUUUAGUUAUGUCUGUUUAUAAGUCUCUAUUUUUAUUCAUAAGUUCUUGAGUCUUCAGUUAUGUCAGUCUCUAUGUUCAGUCUCUAUGUUUAGGAAAUAUUUCCUAAUUUGUAUUGCUUCAUUUCAUCUCAUCUUUUCAGUAUCAAGUAUUGUUCUGUUCUUAGUAUUUCUCUAACUUUCGAUUCAUCAUUUGCAGCCCCUCAGUAUCAGGUAUCAGACUUUAGAUUUUUUUGUCCCUCAGUCUCUAAGUUUUACUUUUAUUUAGUCCUAGGUCAUCAUUAUUGUCCUAGUAUCAUUCCCUACCUAAAUUUGUCUUCAUCCUUGAGUUUCGUCCGCCUCUAAAUAUUUUCUCAGUGUUAAGUUUCAGUUUUCAUUCCGAAUAUGCAGAUGUGGUGCCAUUUGUGCAGUUCGCCCAGCAUCCUUUACCAGCAGAAAGAGAGUGUUCUUUCGUCAGUAAUGUGCUUCUUUUAUAUUUCUCUCAAUCUUGUAUUUUCUUCAGAUCCUUAUUUCUUGCAUCCCUCACUUUCUCUUUGUCGAGUAUCUUCAAAAGAGUUACUAUUUCUUCUUUAGUAUCUGAUUUCUUUUAAUGUUUCAGUCCUCUGUUUAUUUUGUCCUCUAAGGUGUUGAUUGGCUAACCUCCACUUCCCCACCCUACGUUACUUCCUCCACUGAGAACAGAUACUGUGUCACACCUUUCUUCAUUGUAUUUCCUUUUUCUGCAGCUUUUCAGUUUGUAGUUGGUUAAGAUGUGACAUUUUCUUUAAUCUCUUAGUUUAAAUUCUUUUAGUUUUUCACUUAUUUUAGUUUAAAUUCUUUUAGUUUUUCACUUAUUUUAUUUCUGUAGUGUAAAUUUCUGAAGGAACCACUCCAACAUACGGCUUGAGGAGUCCUAAGGGAUCAGUGACCCUGCUUGAGUAUUCCUAAGGGAUUUUCCAUGCUAAACCGUACCCAGAUAGUAUUGCUACACAGUCAUAAUGUCUAGCACUAUGCAUACGUCCCAGAAUUAACUACUCCCUCCGGUUCAUAUUAAUUGACCUAAUAUGAAUGUAUCUAGACACAUUUUAGUUCUAGAUACAUCCAUAUUGGAGUCAAUUAAUAUGAAUCGGAGGGAGUAGUUCUUUUCAUCCAGAAGUUUAUUUGCAGUCUCUCACUCACUGUUGUACUCCAGUGAGUCUUUCUCUCUAUCAUUAUAGGCCCCUUUGUGUCUAUCUGUCCUUUAUUGGUAUAGGCCCCUUGUGUCUAUCUAUCCUUUAUUUGUAGUCUCUCAGUUUUCAGUGUAGUUGCUUAAGCGAUUUAUUCGUUUCCAUCUGCAGGUUUAUUACACAAUUACGCAUGUGAUAUGUUGUCUCAUUUCUUCAAAGAAGAGUAUUUCUCAGUAAUUUGAGUGUUUUUUUUAUAUAGGAAAGUUGAUCUUAAAGAAGAGUGCAUCAAAAUUAGUUUCUAAUAAAGGUGUGCAUCUUGUGCCCUAGAACGAAAAAAUCUUCAAAAAAUGAAGGUAGCUAUGAGGAUCUAUGUAAGGGAGUUCAGGGACCGUACCUUAGCAUCUCCAAUUGGAAAUUCACAGAGGAGCAGGGACUGCCUGGAAGUAAUGGUUGAAAGAAGUGGUUGGAGCACAUGAACUAUUUUGCUUGCUAGAGAAGAGGGUCGAACAGGUACAAGAUGCAUGUGAGAGUUUUACUGCUUGUGGGCUUUCCAUGGGACUCAAACACAGCCCCUGUAGCGAAAAUGUGUCUGUUUUGCUGGACUGAAACAGACAGUUUUUUGAUUGACUGAGUUCUUUUCUCUGCUGUACAGUUGUCAUCAUUUGGUUGGUCCUUAAAGUAUCUGUUCCCCAAUUGAAAAA